UAAGCUACUCCUAAAUAUUAAAUAAACUUGAAUUGAAUUGAAUGUUAUGUAAAUGUAUAUUUAAUAAUAUAAUAUAAUAUAAAAGUUAUAUGGUUUUUAAAAAACGUUAGUGAAAGUUGUGAUGGCAUCUUUAAUGUAGAUGGGACAUCAUCUGCUCGCUGUAAUCUAUCACAGGAGGGCCGUUGGUAUCAUCCUGUGCUGCGGCCCAAAGGUUCCUCUUAGCAUGCUUUGGGUUUGGCAGCUGAAGAGAUGCACUUUCACAUGCCAGUGGAGGUCACCCAGAUUUUCUAAAGAGUUGCAUCAACAACGCUAAAUACCAAUAUCAGCACCAAGAUCUGAGCAAAGUUUGUCGCCCAACACAGCAACAAUGACUCAACCAAUGGCGUUCGUUUGGGGGCGGGGCUACCAGUUUUUUCUGAGCAGCAUCUGCAAGACCCAACACAGCAACAGUGACUCAACCAAUGGCAUCUGUUUGGGGGCGGAGCUACCAGUUUUUCCUAGCAGUAGUAGAAAGGAUUUGAUUUCUGAUGGCUAACUGUAAAUUUAAACCCUGAAGAGUUCCAGUAGAGCCACAGGGUCCAUUUGGUAACAUCGUAACGUGGCGGUGACUGGAAAUGG